rnacentral:rRNA from 1 species
AUGCAAGUCGAGGGGCAGCAUGAUUGAAGCUUGCUUCAAUUGAUGGCGACCGGCGCACGGGUGAGUAACGCGUAUCCAACCUUCCGUACACUCAGGGACAGCCUUUCGAAAGAAAGAUUAAUACCCGAUGGUAUGAUGAGAUUGCAUGAUAGCAUCAUUAAAGAUUUAUCGGUGUACGAUGGGGAUGCGUUCCAUUAGGUAGUAGGCGGGGUAACGGCCCACCUAGCCGACGAUGGAUAGGGGUUCUGAGAGGAAGGUCCCCCACAUUGGAACUGAGACACGGUCCAAACUCCUACGGGAGGCAGCAGUGAGGAAUAUUGGUCAAUGGACGAGAGUCUGAACCAGCCAAGUAGCGUGAAGGAUGAAGGUCCUACGGAUUGUAAACUUCUUUUAUAAGGGAAUAAAACCUCCCACGUGUGGGAGCUUGUAUGUACCUUAUGAAUAAGCAUCGGCUAACUCCGUGCCAGCAGCCGCGGUAAUACGGAGGAUGCGAGCGUUAUCCGGAUUUAUUGGGUUUAAAGGGAGCGCAGACGGGUCGUUAAGUCAGCUGUGAAAGUUUGGGGCUCAACCUUAAAAUUGCAGUUGAUACUGGCGUCCUUGAGUGCGGUUGAGGUGUGCGGAAUUCGUGGUGUAGCGGUGAAAUGCUUAGAUAUCACGAAGAACUCCGAUUGCGAAGGCAGCACACUAAGCCGUAACUGACGUUCAUGCUCGAAAGUGUGGGUAUCAAACAGGAUUAGAUACCCUGGUAGUCCACACGGUAAACGAUGGAUACUCGCUGUUGGCGAUAUACAGUCAGCGGCUUAGCGAAAGCGUUAAGUAUCCCACCUGGGGAGUACGCCGGCAACGGUGAAACUCAAAGGAAUUGACGGGGGCCCGCACAAGCGGAGGAACAUGUGGUUUAAUUCGAUGAUACGCGAGGAACCUUACCCGGGCUUAAAUUGCAAAGGAAUGAUCUGGAA